AGUUAGCCGAUGCUUAUUCUUCAGGUACACGUCAUUUAUUCCUCCCUGAAAAAAGAGGUUUACAACCCAUAGGCAGUCUUCCCUCACGCGGUAUUGCUCCGUCAGGCUUUCGCCCAUUGCGGAAAAUUCCCCA
rnacentral:rRNA from 1 species